CAAAUAAUAGUUUAACAAAAACGAUAGUAUUGGAAACUAUAGUUCACUAUUUGUGUUAUUUGA
rnacentral:tRNA from 1 species